rnacentral:rRNA from 1 species
GAUGAACGCUGGCGGCGUGCCUAAUACAUGCAAGUCGAGCGAACAGACGAGGAGCUUGCUCUCCUGCCGUUAGCGGCGGACGGGUGAGUAACACGUGGAUAGCCUACUUCUAAUACUGGGAUAACUUCGGGGAAAAGGAGAUAAUAAUGGCUCAUAUAUUCUACCGGUUGAAUCAAUGGUGCAACACGGCUUUCGCGACUGAAAUAGACGAAUCCGGGCCGCAUUGGCUAGUUGGUAAGGUAACGGCCUACCAAGGAAACGAUGCGUAGCCGACCUGAGAGGAUGAUCGGCCACACUGGAACUGAGACACGGUCCAGACUCCUACGGGAGGCAGCAGUGGGGAAUCUUCGACAAUGGGCGAAAGCCUGACCGAGCAACGCCGCGUGAGUGAUGAAGGCCUUCGGAUCGUAAAGCUCUUUUAUUGGGAAAGAACAAAUGUGUAUUUAACUAUGCACGUCUUGACGGUACCUAAUCAGAAAGCCACGGCUAACUACGUG